CGCCGCGGUUAUACGGGGGACCCGAAGUGACGGUCUUCGGCGUAAAGCGUGGUUAGAACAUUUUCAUUUAAAUUAAAGCCGAGACCCUUCACAGCUGUCGCAAGUUUAUGAAAUUAGAAAGGCCAUUCACGAAAGUAGCUUUAUUAUAUUUUGACCCCACGAAAACUGGGACC
rnacentral:rRNA from 1 species